rnacentral:rRNA from 1 species
GUCCACGCCGUAAACGGUGGGUGCUAGGUGUGGGGGACUUCCACGUCCUCUGUGCCGCAGCUAACGCAUUAAGCACCCCGCCUGGGGAGUACGGCCGCAAGGCUAAAACUCAAAGGAAUUGACGGGGGCCCGCACAAGCGGCGGAGCAUGUGGAUUAAUUCGAUGCAACGCGAAGAACCUUACCUGGGCUUGACAUGCACUGGAAACCAGUAGAGAUAUUGGCCCCCUUGUGGCCGGUGUACAGGUGGUGCAUGGCUGUCGU